rnacentral:rRNA from 1 species
AUUGAACGCUGGCGGCAUGCUUUACACAUGCAAGUCGAACGGUAACAGCACUUCGGUGGCUGACGAGUGGCGAACGGGUGAGUAAUACAUCGGAACGUGCCUAGUAGUGGGGGAUAACUACUCGAAAGAGUAGCUAAUACCGCAUGAGAUCUAAGGAUGAAAGCAGGGGACCUUCGGGCCUUGCGCUACUAGAGCGGCUGAUGGCAGAUUAGGUAGUUGGUGGGAUAAAAGCUUACCAAGCCGACGAUCUGUAGCUGGUCUGAGAGGACGACCAGCCACACUGGGACUGAGACACGGCCCAGACUCCUACGGGAGGCAGCAGUGGGGAAUUUUGGACAAUGGGCGCAAGCCUUAUCCAGCAAUGCCGCGUGCAGGAUGAAGGCCUUCGGGUUGUAAACUGCUUUUGUACGGAACGAAAAGCCCUCUUCUAAUACAGGAGGGUCAUGACGGUACCGGAAGAAUAAGCACCGGCUAACUACGUG